UUAACCAAUCGCUGGCGGAAGGGGCGAGGCUACGUGGAGAGGCGGCCCUUGUUCGCUGAGAGUUCGACAGAAGCAAGGAUUGGAGCCUACAGAAAACGGACUGUGCUUUUGACCAAUAACUGAAGGGAAGAGGCGGGGCCUAGAGGCGCGCGAGGAUGGAAGCCUAGCAUCAAACGGGCAGCGCUUUCGGCCAGUCGCUGAAGAGCAAGCUCCACUGCAUGACACAAAGGGCAGAAACUCCAGAUCACUCAGUCUCCCUCUGAACUCGAGCUCGUGUGCAAACGUGAAAAUCAAAAGUGGAAUCCUGCUGACGCAAUCUGCCUGACUUUCUGAAAGUGACAUCUCAGAGUCCAAGCUCUUAUGACAUCCCUGUGGGACCUAUCCCUGCUAA